UAUCUACGUCGUCAUCGUCAUGGCGUAGGCAUCUGAGCUGGUUGGGCACGUUUCCUUCGCCCCUGUGGUUGGGCAUCUCUGCGAUGUAUGCAGGGGCAGGGCACAACAUGUCCCAACCCGGGACGAAGUCUUGACGAUGUCGCCCACAAAUUAGUCACACCAUUUCAGGCCUUUGAAAAAUGUACGCAACCACUUUCACUCAAGAAUUUAGAAGAUGCACCAUCGACGUAUAUUUAUUUGAAAGCACCGUUUGGGGGGGCUAAAGGAAAAAUAAGGAUGAUUGGCUCCCAUUUUUGAUGGACACUGACUUGCAUCAGUUCUCCUGUGAAGCAGCUGUGAUGACCGCUGGCCACGCCUAAAGGCGUCAUCAGUACUCGAAGUGUUCCCAGGUGGUCUCCCUCCCCAAGUACUGAAAGCUUCCAGUGCUCCUUGGCUUUGUUGUUCAGACCUGAUGGCCUCUCUCGGGGGAACUGGCGAAUCCGUGUCCUUGUUCGCAUAUCAUGUCAUGCACUGCAUGGUGUGGUGAAAUCAAUGCUCAAAGCUUUCCCACAGGGAAUGUCUGUCAGAAACUAUUAAAUCUUAUUUUUAGACCCUGUU